UACGUAGGGCGCAAGCGUUGUCCGGAAUUAUUGGGCGUAAAGAGCUCGUAGGCGGCUUGUCACGUCGGUUGUGAAAGCCCGGGGCUUAACCCCGGGUCUGCAGUCGAUACGGGCAGGCUAGAGUGUGGUAGGGGAGAUCGGAAUUCCUGGUGUAGCGGUGAAAUGCGCAGAUAUCAGGAGGAACACCGGUGGCGAAGGCGGAUCUCUGGGCCAUUACUGACGCUGAGGAGCGAAGGCGUGGGGAGCGAACGGG
rnacentral:rRNA from 1 species